AGUCAUGAAGACACUUUAUUUGUAGGCAUCAAGAGCUGGGCCUCUGAUCUGACGGCACCCAGGCCUCUUCUUGUGCGGAGACGGUGGUAAGAGCAGGGAGGCUGCCCAAGGACUCUGUCAGGCCAAGGGGGAGAGAGCUAAGACAUGCCCUGCACCUGUCCUGUCAAGCUAGCCGUGAGCACCUCCCAGAAGCUCCGAGGAAGCUGGAGAAGACAGACGCAGGCAGCUGUCUCUGGGUCGUGGGACGAAAAAGACGUGAGGUCCAGUGUCUCCAGGGAGGGGACUGGAGCCUUGGAAAGCCGAGUCUCAGGAGUCUGAAAAUCUCCCCCACAGAGUGGUUGAUGAGCUUCCGCAGAAACUAAGCCCUCACAAAAACUGCCUCACAAAAUUGCUGUGUAGAGAGCGUGGCCAGGCCUGUGGAGAGGACUCCAUCAGCCGAGCACUUGCUGUGCGAGCAUGAGGAACUGAGUUCAGAGCUCAGAACCCGUGUAACGUAGCAGGCAGGACACAGUGAGCACACUGGUACUCUCAACUCUGGGGAGGCAGAAACCAGCCAGUUCUGUCGCCGGCCAACCA